GACGAACGCUGGCGGCGUGCUUAACACAUGCAAGUCGAACGGAAAGGCCCUGCUUUUGUGGGGUGCUCGAGUGGCGAACGGGUGAGUAACACGUGAGUAACCUGCCCUUGACUUUGGGAUAACUUCAGGAAACUGGGGCUAAUACCGGAUAGGAGCUCCUGCUGCAUGGUGGGGGUUGGAAAGUUUCGGCGGUUGGGGAUGGACUCGCGGCUUAUCAGCUUGUUGGUGGGGUAGUGGCUUACCAAGGCUUUGACGGGUAGCCGGCCUGAGAGGGUGACCGGCAACAUUGGGACUGGGAAACGGCCCAGACUCCUACGGGAGGCAGCGGUGGGGAAUAUUGCACAAUGGGCGGAAGCCGGAUGCAGCAACGCCGCGUGCGGGAUGACGGCCUUCGGGUUGUAAACCGCUUUCGCCUGUGACGAAGCGUGGGUGACGGUAAUGGGUAAGGAAGCACCGGCUAACUACGU
rnacentral:rRNA from 1 species